GAGGGAGUGGUGGUGGGUUGUAAAGAAACCAUCACAUUGUUGGAUUAGAUGAUUAACGAAUGUAUGAGGGUGACCAACAACUUUCGAGGAUGCAUCAAUUCUCUAAAUCAAUAAUUUCAUCAAAUAAUUAAAAAGCCUAACUUUAGGCCCUAUUUCAUCGAAAGUAGAAGGGAAUGGGACUUCUAGUUCCAUAAUUUUCUUUCCAUCAUCAAAUAACUAGGAGAGAAUUCUCUCCCCUGUAGUUAGCAACUGAUUUACUUCCCUGAUUUCAUUAUCCAAUUGUUCAGCUCUUACAAAUUUUUUUUUCCCUCUUCUCUGCAUUCAUUACUUACAACCAUUCAAAUAGGGCCUGAUACAUAAUGUAGCCCUCGAGCAUUGUGGAAUAGGUCCAGUGCACUCUUGGAUCUUUUAUUUUGAGCUAUUACACCCGUGACUUUUUAUUUUUUGGCAUAAAUGCACCCUUUAAUAAAUAAUUGAAUACAUUAUCAAGUUUAAUCCAUUAUAAAGUGAAAAGAAAAAGGAUAUAUCAAGUAAUAUAUUUAAUCAAUUUUUCAUCAUUGAAUUUAAAAAUUUGUCUAUUGGUUACAAAAAUAAAA
rnacentral:misc_RNA from 1 species